rnacentral:rRNA from 1 species
CGGAGGAAAAGAAACUAACAAGGAUUCCCCUAGUAACGGCGAGUGAAGAGGGAAGAGCCCAAGAUUGAAAGCUGGCGUCUUCGGCGUCCGCAUUGUAAUCUCAAGAAGUGUUUUCCGCUUCGGACCAUGCCUAAGUCCCUUGGAAAAGGGCAUCAUAGAGGGUGAUAAUCCCGUACAUGGCAUGGAGCGCCCGAAGCUUUGUGAUUACACAUUCUACGAGUCGAGUUGUUUGGGAAUGCAGCUCAAAAUGGGUGGUAAAUGCCAUCUAAGGCUAAAUAUUGGGGAGAGACCGAUAGCGAACAAGUACAGUGAUGGAAAGAUGAAAAGAACUUUGAAAAGAGAGUUAAACAGUACGUGAAAUUGCCAAAAGGGAAGGGUAGGAGGUCAGAGAUGCGUCUUGGAAUUCAGCCUUGCUUUUGCUUGGUGUUUUUUCCAAUUUGCAGGCCAACGUCGGUUUUGGGCACUGGAGAAGGGUAGGAGGAACGUAGCACCUCUCGGGGUGUGUUAUAGCCUCCUACUGGAUACAGCGACCGAGACCGAGGAUAGCAGCGUACUCGCAAGAGCGGGCCUUUGGGCACCUUUACGCUUAGGGCGUUGGCAUAAUGGCCCUCUACCACCCGUCUUGAAACACGGACCAAGGAGUCU